rnacentral:tRNA from 1 species
GGCUCCGUAGUUCAAUUGGAUAGAACGGCAGAUUCCGGUUCUGUUGGUUGGGGGUUCGAGUCCCUUCGGAGCUA